rnacentral:rRNA from 1 species
AUACGGAGGGUGCAAGCGUUACUCGGAAUCACUGGGCGUAAAGCGCGCGCAGGCGGCUAUUUAAGUUGGAUGUGAAAGCCUACGGCUCAACCAUAGAACUGCAUCCAAAACUAUUUAGCUAGAGUGUGGGAGAGGAAGAUGGAAUUAGUUGUGUAGGGGUAAAAUCCGUAGAGAUAACUAGGAAUACCAAAAGCGAAGGCAAUCUUCUGGAACAUUACUGACGCUGAGGCGCGAAAGCGUGGGGAGCAAACAGGAUUAGAUACCCCAGUAGUCC